ACCAAGCAAAGAAAAUGUUGAUAUUUUUUUUUUUAGUGUAAACCUUCGGUAUCUGGAUUUUAUUACCAAGUAUCGCCUAAUCCAGCUAAGGGCUUAGUUACAAUUAACGCUAUGCGCCCCUUCUUGCAUGCAGGUGUGCUUAGCAAAAGCUAUUUUCACAUGUCUAGUCUACAUUAUCAACUGAGCCACGACCCGCAGGUUGAACCAGAAUGCCAAAAAAGCUUGAAGUACCCUUGUGUAUAUCAGCUGAAGAAAUCAAAUCUUUUCUAUCUGGAGAUUACAGCUGAGAGAUUUAUAGAAUAACAGAGAGAAUAAAAAGAAAGCAGAUAAGGAGAUAUGGAAUGGAAAGAGAUUUGAUGAAUAAAGUUUUAAAUCAAUUUGCAUAUAAUGUGUCAAUUUGCUUGUACUUUGAAGUUAAAGUUGAACUCUCUCCCAAUCAAUGGACCAUUAAUUCAAGUUUGUAGGUUCAGUUUUAGGAUAUGAAGAUAAGAAUCAUGACUACCAUUAAACUGGUAGGUCCAAGGUUGAAGUUCUCCGAUGUUUUAGGAUAUAAUCAAUUUCCAUUCAACUCUAUUCAUUUAAAUUCGCAGUAACCUCGAGAAGUGAUAGAUGUUUUAAAGACAAUUUCCCUUCAUUAUGAUUUUAA